ACUAUUAGAAUUCACGGAAAAGAUGACAAUCCUACAAGAAGAACCUGUGAUUGUAAAACCAAUGCUUGGAAGGCGAAAUACACAAAACCCUCCCCAGAGAGGUCCUCUGAGCCAGAAUGGCUCUUUUGGCCCAUCCCCUGUGAGUGGUGGAGAAUGCACACCUCCACUGACAGUGGAGCCACUAGUGAGACCGCUCUCUGCUACUCUCAGUCGAAGAGAUGUGCCUAGAAGUGAAUUUGGAUCAGUGGACGGGCCUCUGUCUCCUCCACAAUGGUCCACUGAGGCAUUCGGACAACCGUCUCCUUCUCCUAAGGGAGCAUAAUAUGGCACAGCUGCCAUGAUGAACAGCUCAAGAGGCUCUUCCCCUACCAGGGUGAUGGAUGAAGGCAAGGUUAAUAUGAUUCCAAAAGGGUCCCCUCCUUUCCCAGGAGCCCCUCUUAUGAGCACCCUCAUGGGAGGCCCUGUACCACCACCUAUUCGAUAUGGACCACUGCCUCAGUUCUGUGGACCUUUUGGGCCUCGGCCAAUUCCUCCACCCUUUGGCCCUGGUAUGCGUCCACCACUAGGCUUAAGAGAAUUUUCAGCAGGAAAACGGGACCUGACACUCCACCCUCAGGAAUUUUUACCAGGACAUGCACCAUUUAUACCUUUAGGUCCUCUUGGCCCAAGAGAGUACUUUAUUCCUGGUACCCGAUUACCAUUCCCAACCCAUAUUCCCCAAGAUUACCCACCACCACCUGCCACAAGAGACUCACUACCAACAGUUUCUAGAGAUGAGCCUCCUCCUGCCUCUCAGAGCACUAGUCAGGACUGUUCACUGGCUUUAAAGCAGAGCUCAUAACUAUGACCUCUGAUGUUUCAUUGGAGAAAAAAUGGACUGUACGUUAUUCAUUACAAUAAAGGAUUUCGUUGGCUUCAAAAUCCAAGUUUAUUUUAAAAGAUCUGUUGUUAGAACUAAGCUGCCUUGGCAGUAUGCAUUUUUGAGCCAAACAAUUCAGAAAUGUCAUUUCUUCCCUAAAUAAAAAUCACCUUUUAAGCUAUA